GACGAACGCUGGCGGCGUGCCUAAUACAUGCAAGUAGAACGCUGAAGAGAGGAGCUUGCUCUUCUUGGAUGAGUUGCGAACGGGUGAGUAACGCGUAGGUAACCUGCCUUGUAGCGGGGGAUAACUAUUGGAAACGAUAGCUAAUACCGCAUAACAAUGGAUGACACAUGUCAUUUAUUUGAAAGGGGCAAUUGCUCCACUACAAGAUGGACCUGCGUUGUAUUAGCUAGUAGGUGAGGUAACGGCUCACCUAGGCGACGAUACAUAGCCGACCUGAGAGGGUGAUCGGCCACACUGGGACUGAGACACGGCCCAGACUCCUACGGGAGGCAGCAGUAGGGAAUCUUCGGCAAUGGGGGCAACCCUGACCGAGCAACGCCGCGUGAGUGAAGAAGGUUUUCGGAUCGUAAAGCUCUGUUGUAAGAGAAGAACGAGUGUGAGAGUGGAAAGUUCACACUGUGACGGUAACUUACCAGAAAGGGACGGCUAACUACGUGCCAGCAGCCGCGGUAAUACGUAGGUCCCGAGCGUUAUCCGGAUUUAUUGGGCGUAAAGCGAGCGCAGGCGGUUAGAUAAGUCUGAAGUUAAAGGCUGUGGCUUAACCAUAGUACGCUUUGGAAACUGUUUAACUUGAGUGCAGAAGGGGAGAGUGGAAUUCCAUGUGUAGCGGUGAAAUGCGUAGAUAUAUGGAGGAACGCCGGUGGCGAAAGCGGCUCUCUGGUCUGUAACUGACGCUGAGGCUCGAAAGCGUGGGGAGCAAACAGG
rnacentral:rRNA from 1 species